rnacentral:misc_RNA from 1 species
AUCCAAGAUUUUGAUAAUUUUCUUCAAUAGAUUAACAUUAUAACAACUACAGCUGAAUUUUGGUUGUUCUCAAGUCCAGAGCUUGACAACAUCCGCUUUGGACUCUGAGAUUUCCCCAGGUGAAGUCUGUGUUGUGGCGCUGGGCUUGAUAUAUACUCCAAUCGACCGGAGCGCUCUCGAAUUGUACAUUCCAUGAAACCCGCCAAAUUGCUUAUUCUCUCCCAUGUUAAAGUUGAACUCAAAUAACUCUAAUCCAUGUCUAGCAUUAUUCCCACCAUAUGGCCCAUAAGUCCCUUUGUUGGUAGUAAAUGUUAUUGACCUGAGAUGAUCAUAGGUGUAUUUACCACUCACCCUUGUGAGGAACUCUGAUGGGUAAUUAAAUUGAACAGUGUAAAGAGUGGGGCCAUGACCAUCAUAUGCGCCAUAUGGAGGAGAAAGCACCAAA